rnacentral:rRNA from 1 species
UACGUAGGGUGCGAGCGUUGUCCGGAAUUAUUGGGCGUAAAGAGCUUGUAGGCGGUUUGUCGCGUCUGCUGUGAAAAUCCGGGGCUCAACCCCGGACUUGCAGUGGGUACGGGCAGACUAGAGUGUGGUAGGGGAGACUGGAAUUCCUGGUGUAGCGGUGAAAUGCGCAGAUAUCAGGAGGAACACCGAUGGCGAAGGCAGGUCUCUGGGCCACUACUGACGCUGAGAAGCGAAAGCAUGGGGAGCGAACAGGAUUAGAUACU